UUUUUGUUUCAUUUUCAUUACAGUUUUUAUUAUUUUUUAAUAUUCGUUAAUUAUUUCGUUUAUGAAAAAUGUAGAUUAGUGGUUAUCCUGUUGGAUGGUUCCAAGUCAAUCGUCAAGCCUAUUACUCUUUGUUGUAGCGAAUGUGAAUAACUUUGUAAGACAAAAGGUGUUGAAGUACGCAAAAACAGCAAAGCCAGACUCUUAGUUUAUAUACAGAAGCCUUCUGUACUUGAGGAAAUGGCAAGCAUAAUUUUGAAAGAAAGAAUCUUCUGUAAUCGUUCAACUUAUACAGAUUUUUCCGAGCUGGUGAGGGAGUCAAUCGAAUCGUUUCUCUUUUGUUCCAGUGGAUGGGUGUCUUUGAGUUUGUUCCACGGCUGCUCUACACCAGUACCAAAAAUGACGUAAAACAAAUUCGUCAAAGCGUAGAUGCCUGCUGAAAGGAAGAAAACCGUUUGCCAUUGAUCGAUGGAGCCCUUGGUUGUCGAAGAUGUGAAAACACAUUAAAAUUGACAACAUACGGUGCCAGAAAUCCGCAAAUGCUGGCGACACAGUUUGUAACGCCCAUCAUAGUACCGGCGUAAUUCGAAGCAAUGUCGAUAUGAUUGGCCUAUAGAUACAAAUUCAACGUAUAAUUGCUUCAAACUAAAAAGAAAAGGUGAGCUGAAAGGAAAUUCAACACUCUUAAUUACUGUGCAAAAAUGCAUUGUUCUUUGCAUUUGUUUACCAAAGUAAGAGUGGCAACUCGGUCACAGCCUGUGUAACUCGCGCCAAUGAGUCCUAAACCUGGUAUCAGGAGCCCUGAAUAUACAUACUGCAGGUGUCAAUUUAGAAGGCCGGAAGCUCACCGUUGAAUAGCAAUUAUAUUUACCUAUGCAGUGACACUAAAGGCGAUGGAAAACAGCCACAUUGCUAAAUACGGAAGGGCUGAAAGCAAUCCGUUCUAGUUCAAAAUCAGCUUACCGCUUUCAAGUCAAAGUGCAGGACGGUCUUCAUGUACGUCGGCAGUUCUGUAAGUAGCAUGGAAAGACCCCAGCUAUGGCCCAAAUGGGCAACUAGAAUAGCCCACAGGUGAAUGGAAGUCAUGAUUGUUGACCACGGAGUUUCUGAAAACUAAAAUGGAAUAGGAAUCAAAUUUAGAUCGGACUCUUUCGAGUUUACGAAAAAGUUUACGUCGUGUGAUGCACCGACGGACUAUCAUAGACCAAGAAAACCCAGCCAAUAAACCAGAGAAUUCCGAUUACGCCAGGGACAUAAAAUGCCAACGGCCAGCCGUUAUCGAAUUCGAGAUUACACAGGAACCCAGACAAUGGCAUGAUGAUCACCGUCCCGAAUUGAGUACCUUAAACGAAAACAAUUGAGACAUUAGACACAUUGCGGAGCGAGGGAGUGUCACACGCAAGAUGAGAACCUGCCAAGACAAAGGCGCCUAUAGUCGUCCGUUCAAAUGUAGGGACCCAUUUUGAAAUCAUACUAUUAGCCGAUGGAAACGUCACUCCCUGAAAUGAAUUAAUCAACCAAUCAGUCAACCCGGAUUUAAAAUUUCUUGUGAAAUGAUAAAGAGCCGCCAUGUCGUGCAGCCAAUGGAGUCAGCAUGGAAAAGAAAUCGGUGAGAAGGAUGCCAAUGCCCAACACGUAUUUGCCUCCGUACUUCUCGGCUAAAAUGCCACCUGGGAUCUGCGUCACCAUGUAACCCCAGAAGAACGCACCCAAAAUCAGGCCUUGUGUUUCACCGUCCCAAUCAAACUCGCCGUUGUUCUACAUAGGAAAAUACCUACUUCACUGUCACCGGAUUCAUCAUUUUCGCACUGUUCGCUGCCAUUUCCGCUGGAGCCUCCGCUACCGCUCCUGCCGAAGAACGUCGUAGUGUUUGGAGUUCUAACCAUGUCAACGAUAGCCACUGACAAAUUGAUUCGCAUCAUGUAAACAGCAGCCAAGCCGAGAAAUCCCAUCAAAGCGAAAACAUGCCGCGAUCCGAAGAAACCUGUGCAAAUAUCAAGAAAUGUUUUUAAAUAUUGCGCACAUAGAUUUCCAUUUAUCCUUCAAAAAGGAUGGAGAUGGAAACGUCAUUGCGUUUACAAACCGUCUGGACGUUCGGCUCCUUCAUUGUCUCCACGUUCAUUUCCAUGAGGAUGUUGCUCGCUGAUGUUGGUCUGUCGAUAAUUACACCAGUCCGGACACAAAGGUUAGUGAAGGUUAGUAACAUAAUUGUGAAACGGGUUUUUGUUUUUUUUACCUCUGAAUCACUACCUACUUUCUGAUCGUUGUUUAUGGCUUUAUCUGUCGAUUGUUUGGUGUCUACGGCGAUGAUGGAGAUUGUGUGCGACAGAGGCGGUUGGCUGCCUUUCUCAUCUCCGUCAGCAUUGCUUGACGUGUCACUCAUGUCUAUAUAUUGUUUUGGCUGGUCAGUCGGCGUAGAUAAACAAUCGUAAUACUAUCAGGCUUAAAGGCAUUUAGAUCUAGAUAAAGGUUGUUACAGAACAUGCUUUCUACGCCACACCAUUUUGAUUGACACAUUGCAAAAAAAGGAAAAAAAAAAUAAAAUGAAAUAAAUCGAUUUCCAGACGUC